AAGUGCAUACUAAGCACCUACUGUGUGUCAAGCGCUGUGAGGACACCCAGUGCCAUGGGAAGAAGACAAAGCCCUUGCCUGUUUGACAAUGGAGGUUGCAUUCUUAUUCAGAAGCAUUGCACAGCAUUCAACAGAAUUUAUUCUGGACAGUAUUUCACCCCACUAAAAGAUCAUACUCUUCAGGAUCCCAGGAAUCUAGGUGUAAAUUCUGGCCAGUGAGAUUUAAGUGCAAAUGGAUGCAACUUGCGGAAAUGUUCCUUGAAAGGAGAAGAAGACGGCAAAUAAUAACGUCAGCAGUUACUGCUGAUGUUGCGGCCUCCUCAGCAAAUGGAAGCACCUGGCCUGCCUCACCUGGCGAAUCCACCCGGGAUGGACCAUGCCUUGGAGAAAAGGAGAGAAGCUGCAGAAUGACCCUCAAAGCCAGCAGCCUGAUAAACUACAUUUCAGAAUCAACCACCUUUUAGAGACAGG